GACGAACGCUGGCGGCGUGCCUAAUACAUGCAAGUUGAGCGCUGAAGGUUGGUACUUGUACCAACUGGAUGAGCAGCGAACGGGUGAGUAACGCGUGGGGAAUCUGCCUUUGAGCGGGGGACAACAUUUGGAAACGAAUGCUAAUACCGCAUAAAAACUUUAAACACAAGUUUUAAGUUUGAAAGAUGCAAUUGCAUCACUCAAAGAUGAUCCCGCGUUGUAUUAGCUAGUUGGUGAGGUAAAGGCUCACCAAGGCGAUGAUACAUAGCCGACCUGAGAGGGUGAGCGGCCACAUUGGGACUGAGACACGGCCCAAACUCCUACAGGAGGCAGCAGUAGGGAAUCUUCGGCAAUGGGCGAAAGUCUGACCGAGCAACGCCGCGUGAGGGAAGAAGGUUUUCGGAUCGUAAAACUCUGUUGGUAGAGAAGAACGUUGGUGAGAGUGGAAAGCUCAUCAAGUGACGGUAACUACCCAGAAAGGGACGGCUAACUACGUG
rnacentral:rRNA from 1 species